GGCUAAAAGCCCAUUGCACAAACCAAUCAAUCACUAUACACCACAUAUAAUAUAUAAAAUUAUUUACCAGAGUUAGUACUUUUUAACAACCCUCCGCACUAUUCACAUUAAAUACCGCAAGGGAUAACAUUCAGUACUUACACAUAAGAAAGAGUAAACUCCUCUACCUUUUGCAUCAUGUAGUUGCAACACUCAACAGUCAACAACCGUCUCCCGAAAAAUGGAGAGCUACUAUUAACAAACCCAUAAUUUACCUUUAAUGUUUCAAUAUUAAAAAAUAGCUAAUAAUAGCAAGCAAAAUACCUUACGAGCCAUUUGAUAGCUGGUUGCUCCUAAAAGAUAUAUAAGUAUCACCUUACACAGAAAAUUUACCACUAUACCCCCAUGUAAGAGAAACCUAAAUGGGGAUAAGCCCAUUUAAGUUUCAAUAGAAGUAAAAUCAAAUUAAAUGUCCUAAAAUAGGCCUAAAAACAGCCAACAACACCCGUUAAAGGGAACGAAAACAUUAACACCACCACAUACCCAAUAAAUCACUCUCUUCAAUAAAGGAACCCUAUAAACCAAUAUAACACUUAUAACGAACCGGCAACUAUUAGUAUCAAAAAACACAAAUAAGAACAAGCAAAUAAAUAACAUUUCAACAAACAACCACCAUAACCAAUAACCGUAAGUAAUGAACUCGGCAAAUAAUCUCUUUGCCUGUUUACCAAAAACAUCGUCUUUUGAGUACCCCACAUAAAAGAUACUGCCUGCCCAAUGAUACCUUUAUAUUAAAUGGCCGCGUUAGCGUGAGCGUGCUAAGGUAGCGUAAUAAUUAGCUUCCUAAUUAGGAGCCAGUGAAUGGCAAAACAAAGAGAAGCUCUAUCUCUUACGACUAGAAAAUUUUCCUAUUAAGUGAAAAGGCUUAAAUAAAAGAGAAAGACAAAAAGACCCCGCGGAACUCCCUGAACCUCCAGCUCUUAAAUAUAGACCACAAAGUUAUUCAGGUUGGUUGGGGCAACCAUGGAACAAUCUCAACUUCCAACCGAACAUAACAAAAAAAUAUAAAAUUUGAUAUAGACCACAACUGCAGUUACCCCGGGGAUAACAGCGUAAUCCAGCUUAAGAGUACGCAUCAAAAGCUGGGUUUGCGACCUCGAUGUUGGCUUAGGGAAGCAGCUUGGCGCAGCCGCUAAGAUAUCUGCCAGUCUGUUCGACUGCAAAGACCCUACAUGAGCUGAGUUAAGACCGGCGAGAGCUAGGUUGGAUUCUAUCUUCCCCACAAAACAGACUCCUUAUUGUACGAAAGGACCUAAAGAGCCACACUAAUAAAAGUGCCACUAAAUACAUCAUCUACUAACUUACCAUUACCCAAAACAGAUAAAUACUGCAA
rnacentral:rRNA from 1 species